rnacentral:rRNA from 1 species
CCUACGGGUGGCAGCAGUGGGGAAUAUUGGACAAUGGGGGCAACCCUGAUCCAGCCAUGCCGCGUGUGUGAAGAAGGCCCUCGGGUUGUAAAGCACUUUCAGUGAGGAAGAACGCCUGGUGGUUAAUACCCAUCAGGAAAGACAUCACUCACAGAAGAAGCACCGGCUAACUCCGUGCCAGCAGCCGCGGUAAUACGGAGGGUGCGAGCGUUAAUCGGAAUUACUGGGCGUAAAGCGCGCGUAGGUGGCUUGAUAAGCCGGUUGUGAAAGCCCCGGGCUCAACCUGGGAACGGCAUCCGGAACUGUCAAGCUAGAGUGCAGGAGAGGAAGGUAGAAUUCCCGGUGUAGCGGUGAAAUGCGUAGAGAGCGGGAGGAAUACCAGUGGCGAAGGCGGCCUUCUGGACUGACACUGACACUGAGGUGCGAAAGCGUGGGUAGCAAACAGGAUUAGAUACCCUUGUAGUC